rnacentral:rRNA from 1 species
GACGAACGCUGGCGGCGUGCUUAACACAUGCAAGUCGAACGGAAAGGCCCUGCUUUUGUGGGGUGCUCGAGUGGCGAACGGGUGAGUAACACGUGAGUAACCUGCCCUUGACUUUGGGAUAACUUCAGGCAACUGGGGCUAAUACCGGCUAGGAGCUCCUGCUGCAUGGUGGGGGUUGGAACGUUUCGGCGGUUGGGGAUGUACUCGCGGCUUAUCAGCUUGUUGGUGGGGUAGUGGCUUACCCAGGCUUUGACGGGUAGCCGGCCUGAGAGGGUGACCGGCCACAUGGGGACUGAGGUACGGCCCAGACUCCUACGGGAGGCAGCAGUGGGGAAUAUGGCACAAUGGGCGGAAGCCUGAUGCAGCAACGCCGCGUGCGGGAUGACGGCCUUCGGGUUGUAAACCGCUUUCGCCUGUGACGAAGCGUGAGUGACGGUAAUGGGUAAAGAAGCACCGGCUAACUACGUG